GCUCUGUGUGAGAAAUGUGCUAUUGCCUCAGCUCCUGCGGGGAAGACAAUUUUGGACACUUGCCCUCAUCUUUCUAUUAGUGCCUAUCACUGGCAUCCUCAGGAAAUCAACGGGAAGAAAUUUGAAGGAAAUGGAUGUUGAAACCAUCCAAGUUCCCGAGCCAUAUUUCACUAUUUCACCUCUCAGUGCAGCAGAAGAAGGUUGUACGUUUAUCCAUUUCACAGCAGUGGUUUCUAACAAGUAGUAAAGAAAUCAUAUUAAAUAACAAGGUUUUAUCAGUGAGCCUGAAGGUUCGUCGUUCCUAUAGGAUACCAGACAGUAAUGAAGUUGUCUACAGGAUUCAUGCAGCAUCAGAUUAUACCAAAGAUGUCAAGUUGCCUUUUGUGGAACCAAGGUUUAGAACGGUAAAACCAAGAACAAUUCCCUGGCCGUAGAUGUUAGGAUUCUUAAAAGAUGUUUUCGUUAUCGCAAUACCAAGCUUAUUUAUCAGCUAAAGAGACCAUUUCAAUGGAUGUUGUCUAGUUGAAGCCAGGAAAACUGAUAGUAGUUGCCUGCUUGGCCCUGCAAACAAAUAGAUAGAUUU